CCGGAGAGCUGAGAGAGGCGCAGAGCGGGGAGAGCUGGUGGGAUCUUGAUUUGGUGAAAAUGUCGCAGGUUUGCAGUCAGCUUAGUGGAGACCUGCACAUCCACAUUCUGCAGCUGCUGCCGAGGCUGGGGAGGCUUCAGCCCAGUGCCUCCCAGCUCCCAACGCCUGGGAUUCCCCUGGGAAGCAGCUGACUGGCACCCAGACUGCCAGCCAGAUGAUGGAUCCUACCAGGAGAAUCAGACGUGACAGGGGGAGGUGAGGCUGCAGGAGUCGCCACCACUGAACCUGAGGACGAGGGGCAGAUGCGGUCAGCUGCCUCAGCUCUGUGUGUGCAUACGUGUGUGUGUGCCUGUGUGUAACUCUUUGCAUGCAGAUAUGUUAUAUGUUAGCAUCUGUGUAGAUGCAUGCGUUUGAAUGCCCAGCCCAUGUCUGUGGGUGGUUAUUUUGGCACAUGUAGUUUUUUUUUCACUCUAGUCACAUUCUCCAUCUGGACCUGAAGUAUUUCGUUAGCUGAAGAAUGUUACAUUUUAUUUUGAAAGCUGACAAAAUAUCAGCAGUGUUCGACUUUUAAUGUUUGUCAUGUCUGCUAUCGGACCUUCCAAAAACUGUGACAGAUGCCAAAUGACACAUGUUGAGGUUGAGCAUACGAAUCCAGUUGAAAAGAGACAAGUUAAAUGACAUGAAGUAUCAGAUUUUUACAUCAGAUCCUGAAUCUCCUUUCACAUAACUGCU